AAUACCAAAAAUAUGUGGCUUUGGUGAAGGACUGGUCGUUUUCGUGAUUGUUAUAGAUCGAUUUAUCGAAUCGGACGAAGAAGUGCCCAUUGAUGACUUUAUAUUUUUAAAUUCAUAUAAUACAAAGCCAAAAAUGUUUCACUACACCGACCGUCCGUUUAUUACACUUGACCUCGAAUGUCUCGAGUUCGGAGCAGGUGCUCAUGGGAAAAUCCUGGUUAUCAAUAAGAUUAGUGAAAAAUAUAAAACACAAGCAUCUAGUUGAUGAUUCGGACCUUCCCUGGCAAAUGAACGGCUUUUUCCGAAUUUCCCUGGUGCCUGUAUAAUAAUAGAUUAACUUAGAGCUUGCGAUCCGUCGUGUCGUUUGGUAUUGUGUGAAAUGUAGAAU